rnacentral:rRNA from 1 species
UGGGCAACCGGCGAACGGGUGCGUAACACGUGAGCAACCUACCGAACUGUGGGGGAUAGCCGGCCUAACGGCCGAGUAAUACCGCAUACGCUCUCAGUGAGGCAUUUCAUUGAGAGGAAACCUACGGGACAGAUCGAGGGGCUCGCGGCCUAUCAGCUAGUUGGCGAGGUAACGGCUCACCAAGGCAACGACGGGUAGCUGGUCUGAGAGGAUGGCCAGCCACAUUGGGACUGAGAUACGGCCCAGACUCCUACGGGAGGCAGCAGUGGGGAAUCUUGCGCAAUGGCCUAACGGCUGACGCAGCGACGCCGCGUGUGGGAUGAAGCUCUUCGGAGUGUAAACCACUGUUGCCCGGGACGAACAGCUCGAUUAAUCGAGCCUGACGGUACCGGGUGAGGAAGCACCGGCUAACUCCGUGCCAGCAGCCGCGGUAAUACGGGGGGUGCGAGCGUUGUCCGGAAUCACUGGGCGUAAAGGGCGCGUAGGUGGUUUGAUAAGGGUGUGGUGAAAGUCCGGGGCUCAACCCCGGAUCUGCCGUGCCGACUGUCAAACUCGAGGACUGUAGAGGCAGACGGAAUUCCGGGUGUAGCGGUGGAAUGCGUAGAGAUCCGGAGGAGGACCGGUGGCGAAGGCGGUCUGCUGGGCAGUUUCUGACACUGAGGCGCGACAGCGUGGGGAGCAAACAGGAUUAGAUACCCUGGUAGUCC